AAGAUGUUUACAACUCACAGAAGGUAGCAAGAAAGAGCUUUGAAAGAAACAAGAACUACAGCUGAAUAAAAGAUUGAAUUAUUCUCCUCAGUUGAAAAUUAUCACUGAAUCCUUUUUCCUUGUCAAAAGAUGAAACUGAACUGGAAGAUGGUCACCAAAUGUUGGUGGGCCACAGGUUGAGAGUGCCAUAAGUCAAGGCCUCAGGACCAGACUGGAGCCCUCCUUUUGGCACUUCUCCACCAAAAUCAUGUGUGGUGUGUUCACUGCACCCUCAGCACCGAUGGUUUCAUCUCUAAGAUUUGCUUCUUUUGAAUCAUGGAGAAAGAAUAUUAAAUACACAGUUCCACAGGAAAACCUGGAGACUGAUACAGAUGAAUGUAACUGUAUAUAGUUAUGUUCUCAUUUCCAAAGGUCUCUAACUCCUGUUUCUAUUUAUGGACUAAGAGGAUUUAAUGGACUACAAGACCUUUCCGUGUGAGGAACCAAGCUGUGCUCCUGUAGAAUGUCAACUCCUUCAAUGAGCAGAGAAGCGAACGGAAGGCUGAUUAACUGGAAAUUGCCUCUUUUCAGGUAGUGGUAAUACAUUUUGAAACUUCUUACCUGACUGGUCUAUUUUGGCUGAUGCUCAUGUCCUCCAGUUGGAAUGUCACUGUAUCUAUACCCACAGAUCGUGAUAUGUGUCUCCAGCUACUUUGUUUUCUGCUGCUUUAAUCCACUGGGCAUAUAAAAAUAUACUCUACAACUAGUCCCCAGAAGAUGUCAACUGAUUGUAGCCAACUGAGUUGCAAUGAGUUAAAUCUUCACCUUUGUUGAUCCUUCACCUUUGACUAUGCACUUGCAGAGACUCAAAAAAGCCUCACAGCCACAAAUCUGGAAGCUGAGCAAAGUACACAAAUUUUAUUCUAAUGACUGUGAAAUGGAAGACCAGUCAGCAAUGUCACUGUAAGAAAGAAAAGCAAAGGAUUUCCCUGGAAUAGUUGGAAGAAAGGAAGCAGCAAACUGAUAAAAAAAGUCAUUUACUAGUAAUAAGGAGAAAGAACCAGAAGUGUUCAAUGUCGAUGUGUGCGUAAAAAAUAAAAUACAAAGAUGCUCCAAUUUCCUAAUUCUCAUGGGAAAUUCAGUUUUAGUUGGAUAAACAAGCCAAGACAGUAAACUACAUUGCCAAGAGACAGAAUUUUCCAUCCAGCAAAAUGGUACAGAAAAAUCCAGCAAAGUUCUCCUGAAAGAAGCCUUGCCCCAGGCAGCUGAGAGCUCCACGAAAUACUGUGAAAACUGACUGGCAUUUUCACAGGUUC